CGACGGGGUCUUAGUGCGGAAGUUUUCGGAUGGAAGGAUUAAGACUUAGUGGCGGACGGGUGAGUAACGCGUGGGUAACCUGCCCUGUACAGGGGGAUAACAGUUGGAAACGGCUGCUAAAACCGCAUAACAUGGAGAUACCGCAUGAUAUUUCCAUCAAAUAUUUAUAGGUACAGGAUGGGCCCGCGUCUGAUUAGCCAGUUGGCAGGGUAAUGGCCUACCAAAGCGACGAUCAGUAGCCGGCUUGAGAGAGUGACCGGCCACAUUGGGACUGAGACACGGCCCAAACUCCUACGGGAGGCAGCAGUGGGGGAUAUUGCACAAUGGGGGAAACCCUGAUGCAGCGACGCCGCGUGAGUGAAGAAGUAUUUCGGUAUGUAAAGCUCUAUCGGCAGGGAAGAAAAAGCGCGCGAGCGCCCUUGACAGUACCUGACUAAGAAGCCCCGGCUAACUACGUGCCAGCAGCCGCGGUAAUACGUAGGGGGCAAGCGUUAUCCGGAUUUACUGGGUGUAAAGGGAGCGUAGGCGGCCACGCAAGUCAGAAGUGAAAACCCGGGGCUCAACCCUGGGAGUGCUUUUGAAACUGUGCGGCUAGAGUGUCGGAGGGGUAAGUGGAAUUCCUAGUGUAGCGGUGAAAUGCGUAGAUAUUAGGAGGAACACCAGUGGCGAAGGCGGCUUACUGGACGAUGACUGACGCUGAGGCUCGAAAGCGUGGGGAGCAAACAGGAUUAGAUACCCUGGUAGUCCACGCCGUANACGAUGAAUACUAGGUGUCGNGGGUCAUA
rnacentral:rRNA from 1 species